rnacentral:tRNA from 2 species
GCGCGGUUAGCUCAGGGGUAGAGCAUUACCUUGACACGGUAGGGGUCAGAGGUUCAAAUCCUCUACCGCGCACCA